AUGUGCCCAAAGGCUAGGCUGCUUUGUAGCUGGAGUAGUGCCCCUGUGGCCAGGGCGGGUAGGCAGGGGCAGCCUCAGAGUUGAUACCCAUGUGGAAGGGUCAGCAUCUGCUGGUCCCUGGUGGGCUCCGCCUUCAAUGUCAGGGCUACCACUUGGACCUGUUUAGUGAGCACUGGGGUCUUUUUGGAUGUCCUGAGCUCAGCGCUCCAGAAAAAUUUAAUAUUGCCCAAUAAAAAGCCUUGAGAAAGACAGAAUUGCUUGUGGAACAUGCAUGUUCCACCCCACCUGGACCCCAGAUUGUGCGCAUCUUCGAUGAGCUCUCAGAUUCCUUGUUCAGAGUGGCUGACUUGGAUGAACACAAAUGUGGAAUUAUGUCAAAGUUUGCAAAAAUUACUAGCUGAUUAAAAACAAAACAAAAACUAGGCAAGUGGCCUAACUGUUUAUGUUUGAUUUUGAAAUUAGUGGAAUCCAUCUAGACAAAGAAAAGUGUAAAAGAGCAGUGGACCUCAAUGUUAAAAUCUUGGAUUUGAGUAGUACAUGUCUUACGGCAAACAACUUUCCCAACAAGAUUGAGAAGCAUCUCUUACUAGAACACAUUCACCAUAACUUUUAUCUGAUGGGGAUCGUAUCAUAAUUGAUGGUCUCCAUGCAGAAGCACCAGGCGACUUGGUGUGAGAAGCUGCUUACAAAAUUUUUCUUCAUCCCUAUACUGGUCAGUUAAAAUGUUUAGAAGAAUUGCUCAGCAACAGAGAUCCUCUGCAAAAGUUGGUAGGGUAUUCUGUGUUUUCCAGCAGGGCUCUCCAAGGAACAAUAGUUAAAAAUUCAGAGACUGUCAUCCAGUUCCCUGAGAAACUCUCUGACAAACUUUCUGAAAGAACUUGAAAAGAUUUUGAGAUGAUACGACAGAUGAAAAGUGAAAAAUGAAACAGAAUUCUCAAAGUUCCAAAGUAAUGCCUUGGGACCCCCACUACCAGAGUGGUGUGAUUCAUGCACAAAGGUAUAAUAUUGACCCUGGCUUAUAUUGCCUGUUUUUCUCCCUUGGAGCAUGCAUGGAAGGCCUGAAUAUUUGGCUUAACAAACUGUUGGAGAUUUCCUUAUAUGCAGAGUAGCCUGCAAAAGGAGAGGUAUGGUGUGAAGAUGUCCGAAAACUGGCCAUCAUUCAUGAAUCUGAAGGACUGUUGGGGUGCAUUUACUUUGAUUUUUUUCAGCAAGCAGACAAACCACAUCAGGAUUGCCAUUUUCGAAUCCACAGAGGCAGAUUAAAGGAAGACAGAGACUAUCAACUCCCAGUCAUAGUUCUUAUGCUGAAUCUUCCCCAUUCCUCAAGGAGUUCACAAACUUUGCUAACUCCUGGAAUGAUGGAAAAUCUUGACCAUGAAAUGGGACAUGCUAUGCAUUCAAUGCUAGGACGUACUUCUUACCAACACAUCACCGGAACCAGGUGCCCCAUUGAUUUUGCAGGGGUUCCUUCUAUUCUAAUAGAGUACUUUGCAAAUGAUUAUUGAGUAACCAGUUUGCCAGACAAAAUUAGAAUGGGCAGCCACUGCCAAAAAAAUAUGGUGUCUCAGCUUUCUGAAUCUAAAAAAGUUUGUGCUGCAGCUGAUAUGAAACUUCAGGUCUUUUAUGCCCCUCUGGAUCAAAUCUACCAUAGGAAGCAUCCCCUGAGGAAUUCAACCACAGACAUUCUCAAGGAAACACAAGAGACAUUCUGUGGCUUACCAUAUGUUCCAAAUACUGCCUAGAAGCUGCGGAUCACCUACCUCAUGGGCUAUAGGGCCAAAUAUUACUCUUACCUCAUGUCUAGGGCAGUCACUUCCAUGGUUUGGAAGGAAUGUUUUCUACAAAAUCCUUUUAACAGGGCCACCAUGGAGUGCUAUUGCAGGGAGAUGCUGGCCCACAGUGGAGGCAAGAAGCCCAUGCUCAUGGUUGAAGGUGUGCUUCAAAAGUGCCCUUCUAUUGAUUACUUUGUAAGUGCCCUUGUUUCUGACUUGGAUCUGGACUUUGAAACUUUUGUCAUGGAUUAUGAA
rnacentral:lncRNA from 1 species